CCUACGGGUGGCAGCAGUGAGGAAUAUUGGUCAAUGGCCGUAAGGCUGAACCAGCCAAGUAGCGUGAGGGAAGACUGUCCUAUGGGUUGUAAACCUCUUUUAUGCGGGGAUAAAGGUGUCCACGUGUGGAUGUUUGCAGGUACCGCAUGAAUAAGGACUGGCCAAUACCGUGCCAGCAGCCGCGGUUAUAAGGAAGGUUCGGGGGUUAUCCGGGUUUAUUGGGUUUAAAGGGAGCGUAGGGCGGUCUUUAAGCGUGCCGGGAAAUUUUGUGGCUCAACCAUGAGAGUGCGGCGCGAACUGGAGACCUUGAGUGCGCGGAAGGCAGGCGGAAUUCGUGGUGUAGCGGUGAAAUGCAUAGAUAGCACGAAGAACCCCGAUUGCGAAGGCAGCCUGCCGCAGCGUUACUGACGCUGAAGCUCGAAAGCGCGGGUAUCGAACAGGAUUAGAUACCCGAGUAGUC
rnacentral:rRNA from 1 species